rnacentral:rRNA from 1 species
GGGCAUGCGGCAGCUACCAUGCAGUCGAGCGGAAGGCCCUUCGGGGUACUCGAGCGGCGAACGGGUGAGUAACACGUGAGUAACCUGCCCCUGACUCUGGGAUAAGCCUGGGAAACCGGGUCUAAUACCGGAUACGACCAUUUCUCGCAUGUGAUGGUGGUGGAAAGUUUUUUCGGUUGGGGUUGGGCUCGCGGCCUAUCAGCUUGUUGGUGGGGUGAUGGCCUACCAAGGCGACGACGGGUAGCCGGCCUGAGAGGGCGACCGGCCACACUGGGACUGAGACACGGCCCAAACUCCUACGGGAGGCAGCAGUGGGGAAUAUUGCGCAAUGGGCGGAAGCCUGACGCAGCGACGCCGCGUGGGGGAUGACGGCCUUCGGGUUGUAAACCUCUUUCAGCAGGGACAAAGUUGACGUGUACCUGUAGAAGAAGCGCCGGCUAACUACGUGCCAGCAGCCGCGGUAAUACGUAGGGCGCGAGCGUUGUCCGGAAUUAUUGGGCGUAAAGAGCUCGUAGGUGGCUUGUCGCGUCUGCCGUGAAAGCCCGUGGCUUAACUACGGGUCUGCGGUGGAUACGGGCAGGCUAGAGGCUGGUAGGGGCAAGCGGAAUUCCUGGUGUAGCGGUGAAAUGCGCAGAUAUCAGGAGGAACACCGGUGGCGAAGGCGGCUUGCUGGGCCAGUUCUGACGCUGAGGAGCGAAAGCGUGGGGAGCGAACAGGAUUAGAUACCCUGGUAGUCCACGCUGUAAACGUUGGGCGCUAGGUGUGGGGGUCUUCCACGAUCUCUGUGCCGUAGCUAACGCAUUAAGCGCCCCGCCUGGGGAGUACGGCCGCAAGGCUAAAACUCAAAGGAAUUGACGGGGGCCCGCACAAGCGGCGGAGCAUGUUGCUUAAUUCGACGCAACGCGAAGAACCUUACCAAGGUUUGACAUACACCGGAAACACUCAGAGAUGGGUGCCUCCUUUGGACUGGUGUACAGGUGGUGCAUGGCUGUCGUCAGCUCGUGUCGUGAGAUGUUGGGUUAAGUCCCGCAACGAGCGCAACCCUUGUUCCAUGUUGCCAGCACGCCCUUUGGGGUGGUGGGGACUCAUGGGAGACUGCCGGGGUCAACUCGGAGGAAGGUGGGGAUGACGUCAAGUCAUCAUGCCCCUUAUGUCUUGGGCUGCAAACAUGCUACAAUGGCCGGUACAGAGGGUUGCGAUACCGUGAGGUGGAGCGAAUCCCUAAAAGCCGGUCUCAGUUCGGAUUGGGGUCUGCAACUCGACCCCAUGAAGUCGGAGUCGCUAGUAAUCGCAGAUCAGCAACGCUGUCUUAUGUAU